CACAAAUGGGAGGCUUCUGAAGCCAUAGAAGUGUCCCCAGCCCAUGAGGAUCCACUGUGCCUAAUGGUACCACCUUCUUAUCUAGAAGAGGCUCUAGGGCAAUGUCUACAAAAGGAUUAAUCAGCUGCAGAGAGCAGAUGCAGAUGCCAAAAGGACUCUUCACUAGCAUAGGACCAAAGACGUUCAAGGUUCGGCAUGGCCAAUGUACAUCUCAGUGGCUGGGUAUUGACUGUGUCAAUUUGCAGUGGACUAAGUGUCUUGGCAAGAGAAAUUGUCCUCCAGCUGGAACCUGAGGACUGGAGCAGAGGUCCUUUGUCAGGCGAUGUUCCUGAAUGAGACUCAUGGCAAGUGACCAGGUGAUGGGUCAACACAACUGACACAUCUCAUUCUUGAGGUGCUUCCUCUUUUAUGGUCCCAGUGGAGGAGAUUCCAUCAGAUGUGAUUCAUAAGCUCCUGCUUUUUAUCCUCCUACUUCUCCUAUGUGAUUUGGUUUAUUCCCAAGCAUCAAUAUUUACUGACAUGAGUAAAUCAUUUGUGUUUCUUAGUGUGCUGG
rnacentral:lncRNA from 1 species